UCACAUCUCCGCUGUUGCAAGACCUAUUUGCAUACCUUGCACCCAGGAAACCAGUGAUGCUCUACAACUGGUUAGUGUAUCAACAUGUGCACAACAAGAGCAAGUUUUGCUGA